AAAGAGAGACCAGAUUCACCAGAAUCCAGCUGUGUGUCCAUGAAGAGUGACAAGUCAAUGGACAAACCAAUAGUCUUUGGAGAGAGAUCAGAUUCACCAGAAUCCAGCUGUGUGUCCAUGAAGAGUGACAAGUCAAUGGACAAACCAAUAGUCUUCGGAGAGAGAUCAGAUUCACCAGAAUCCAGCUGUGUGUCCAUGAAGAGUGA